AGGACGAACGCUGGCGGCGUGCUUAACACAUGCAAGUCAAGGGGGCCCAGCAAUGGGCAACCGGCGAACGGGUGCGUAGCACGUGAGCAACCUACCGAAAUGUGGGGGAUAGCCGGCCUAACGGCCGAGUAAUACCGCAUACGCUCUCGAUGAGGCAUUUCAUUGAGAGGAAACCUACGGGACAUUUCGAGGGGCUCGCGGCCUAUCAGCUAGUGGCGAGGUAACGGCUCACCAAGGCGACGACGGGUA
rnacentral:rRNA from 1 species